rnacentral:rRNA from 1 species
CCUACGGGAGGCUGCAGUGGGGAAUAUUGGGCAAUGGGCGCAAGCCUGACCCAGCAACGCCGCGUGAAGGAAGACGGCUUUCGGGUUGUAAACUUCUUUUCUGAGGGACGAAGAAAGUGACGGUACCUCAGGAAUAAGCCACGGCUAACUACGGGCCAGCAGCCGCGGUAAUACGUAGGUGGCAAGCGUUAUCCGGAUUUCUUGGGUGUAAAGGGCGUGUAGGCGGGAAAGCAAGUCAGAUGUGAAAACUCAGGGCUCCACCCUGAGCCUGCAGUUGAAACUGUUUUUCUUGAGUGCUGGAGAGGUAAUCGGAAUGCCGGGUGUAGCGGUGAAAUGCGUAGAUAUACGGAGGAACACCAGUGGCGAAGGCAGAUUGCUGGACAGUAACUGACGCUGAGGCGCGAAAGCGUGGGGAGCGAACAGGAUUAGAUACCCUAGUAGUC